CGCCCGAUCUCAUCUGAUCUCGGAAG
ensembl:rRNA 5S_rRNA 5S ribosomal RNA